rnacentral:lncRNA from 1 species
UUCGCUAAUCGGGCCGGGCCUGAGGAGGAGGGGGGAGAGAACCGGGCCGGGCUGAGGGAAAAUGGCAUGUCUGAUCGAUCAUCAUCAGACACUGAGGAUAUGUCUUUACAGUCCGAAUCACCGGAGAGUGAAAAGACAGAAAUGACCUCGGCCUGGGCCCGGUUAGUGAAUAAUGAUAAUUUAGAGAAUUGGGCCAGGCUGAGGGAGAGCCCGAAUUUUUAUCCUUCGUCGUCGUCUUCGGAUGUGUUUGUACGGGCCGAAUCACCUUGUGUAGAAAGUGAAAAGACAGAAAUGACCUCGGCCAGAUUAGGAAAUAAUGAUUUAGAGAACCUGGCCGGGCCAAGCGAGAAUUUUUAUCCACCUGAUAUGUUCUAUCGGGCUGAAUCGUCUUCGGUAUCGUUAUCUAAUAGAAUGGGAAGUAAAAAGACUGAAAUGACCUUGAC